GAAGCUUUAGAUGAAGUUGCGUUGACAUAGAUUUUAUCUUUACUCGCCCAUAGGUUGAUAGCCGAGUGAGGUACAUCUAAUCAACGGAACUUUCCUAAUAUUUGAAAUGUUUGUAUUCACUGAAUUCUCUAUCUCGUCUAUGUUUAGUAGUACCCACGAAGGAGAACCGGGGCAGUAGGACAUUGGCCUACCCAACUGUUGAGAUGGCUGUUAUCAUAGUAGUUCUUUUAUGUCCAUCUGCCAGUCGGACAAAAUGGUUUGAUAAUAGUCUUCGUUUUUGGUACCAACUUCCAACUUCCCUUGUCAUAGGAAGCAUUUUACUCGAAAGAUAGAGUGGACAAUAUAAGGACCUGUAAGA